GGCUUUCUGUUCGUUUACCUUUUGUAAACACCUUCCCAUUGGCGGAUCCAAGGGGGGGGGGGUUCCAAGGGUUGGACCCCCCUUUUCUUGGACGUCCAAUGCAUUUGAAAGGGUAGUUGUGUUUUUUUGUUAUUUUUUUCCCAAUCAACCAAAUAACAUCUGUAAAAAAAAACACGACAUACAUCCUAGUAUUCUGAAAUGAAAAGGACCAGUCAGACCGGUGAUCAGAACAAUAUAUCUGGACUAUCACUACAUAUGAUUCCAUCCUUUUUCCAUAAUUAAACCAUUAUUGUAUUAUAUGUCUCUGGUACAACAAUUGAAUAAAAUUAUGAGUCUGAGGAAGAACUGGUAAUUAACUCUUAAUAAUUCGUAGUUAAACUUUGAUUUUUUUUAAUGAACAACGAGUGUUGUAAAGCUUCAUAGUAUUAUCAAUUUGUAUUGGCACAGGUGUUGUUUAUCAUCCUAAUCACGUGUUAGUUUCUUUUAUGCGUCUUUAUAAAUAUUACUUUUACUGUUUUGUCUUUUUUUGGUGGUAUCCAUUUGACAGGGCUGUGCACUUAUACAUCCCAUUAUUGUGUUAUUGUUCUAUGAUAUUUUUGUAUUCUUGUCUUUCAUUUUUUUCUUUAUGCUAUAUGCUCUGUCUAUAUGCCUUUUAGUAUUUCUUUAUUACUAAUGACAUGGCUCUGUACCUGUACAUCCUGUCAUUGUGUUAUUAUGCCAUGGUAACUGUUUGUUUAUAUAUUUGUAUGUGUGAUAAAUAUAAUAACACAAUGUUGACAGCUGUACCCAAAUUUUUGACAUUUAUUCAUAUUAUGUUUGUUUUGUUCACACAUUGUUGUUUAUAAAAUUAUGCAACUGUCAUACAAGUGAGAGGUUUAGCUAGCUAUAAAACCAGGAUUUAUCCACUAUUUUCUUCAUAAGAAAAUGCCUGUACCAAGUAAGUAAUAUAACAGUUGUUAUACAUUUUUUUGAUGUGUUUGAAUUUUUUAUAUCACCAUUUAAUUGGGGACUUUCCUUUUUGAAUUUUCAUCAGAGUUCAGUAUUUUUGUGAUUUAACUUUUUAUCAAACAGGACGUAGCUGCACAGAAGAUGUUAACAAAUUGCUUACAUGCCACAACUUAACAUGAUCAAGGAGCAGACUGAAUUUAAUACCAUUCCCAUUUCUAUAAACCAAUAACAG
rnacentral:lncRNA from 1 species